GGAAGAUAAUGAUAAAACAUUCAAAAUUCUGAAAAUAUCUUUGAUACACUAAAAUUUUAAUACGCACCAAUUAUAAUUAAAGUAGGGUAUAAUUGUAAAAGAACAAUUAUGAAGAACUUUAAAAAAAUUAAAAAGAAAAGAAAAAAGUUUAACAGACCCCACUCCAGAGCAGUUGCUCUUCCUAUCAGUUUCUUCUGGCACGUUCUAUUCAAAAAAGAUGAAAGCAAAACUGAAACCAUCCAAAACCCACCAUGGCCCUCAAACUUGGAAACGCAUUUCCUCCCCUCCCAUGUUUCGCAGAGCAAGAAUCCUCAUCUACUCACGGCAUAAAAAGGGAGGAAGAUUGAAGGAAAAAGAGCUGAAGCAAUCAAUAUUGGAACCCCCAGUGUGCUCAUCAAUCUGUAUUUGUAAGAUGUUGCAGUGUAUGAGAGAGGCAAGAAAAUUAUGGUAUGAUGCUGUUAAAACCGAUCGACGUUUACUCAGAUUCUAAAUCAGACGGUCCAUCUCGCAUCACCAACCCUCAGUCUCAGGGUCCAGUCAUUAGUUCAAGAACUCAAAGUCCAGAAUUGCUUCAAUGACUCCGGUUCCAUGCUUUCUGUUUAUUAAUCUUCAAUAUGCAGAGCAUCAAUUCUUUAAAUGAUGGAAUCGCCUCUCACCUCGCACUCUCUGACGCAUAAUGGUUCCAGAAGACGCAGAGGAAACUAUAUUUAAGGAAUUAAAAGCAAAAUGAGGAUCAGAGUUGGAGGGAGUUCAAGAAUAACAUGAAAGCAAAACAAAAGGGAAGCAUCAUGGUGAGUGAUAAGCACUGAUCAUGACUUCUUCGAGCAGUGAACCAAAGUCGCUCUUCUUCAUGGACAAGUCCAAAGUAAUUGAAUUGCUUCUGUAUAACAAAUCCCAAUUUCAGGUCAGCUGCCGGAAUCUGGCAUUUUUUAAUGGGUUUUAUUUUUCGUUGGUAGAAUGCAUUUUAUUGUGGUUUUAGUGUUUAGGGUGAUAGAGUGGUGGAGAUGCAGAUGGAGGUGUGGGUAUUUUGGCCAUGUUAAAAGGAAAUUGCAAGUUUAUAGUUUGGUUUAAACAAUUGUGUGGCUGUGUGUUCGCUUUAGGUGAAGGUGUCGUGAUGCAAAAGAAACUAUGUUUCUAGCUUUAAAUUCUGUGUUUCUAUGUACUAAUUGGGCGAUUUCUCAAUGUUUCUAUUAGGUUAUUUCAUAUGGAUGCUAGAAGGGACAUAAUUUUCUGUGGUGGCAAUUACACUAUAAAUGCAGAUCCAAUUUGCUGCAUGAGGCUACCAAAGAAGAUAGUAGCAGGAGGGCAUAAAAGUGCUGCCGGAGGAGGUUUAUGUACAAGCAGUAGCUAAAAGGAUUUUAAUUGUCAUGAAUUUUUUGUUUAUUCUUUUCCUUUUUCAAUGGUUGCAAUACUAGCUUCUUUUUUUUUUUUUUUUUGUUGGCCAACAUUGCAAUACUAGCUUCAAUUACUAUAUUUUGGUGUAACGAGUUUUGUUUUAAAUAAAGACUUAUUCAAUUACAUCUGUUCCAAAUUCGGUUCAAUGGUUAACAAUGAUAAUUGUUAUCAAUAAAUACAAAGAGGAAUUUAAAUUA